GUCAACUCCCUGGGUGUAGUUGUGUGUGCCUGUAGUCCAGAAUAUUGGGAGACUGAGGUGGGAGGAUUGCUUGAGUCUAGAACUUCUGGGCUGUUGUACUCUAUGCCAGUUGAGUGUCUACACUAAGUUUGACAUCAAAAUGGUGACCUCCUGGGAGCAGGGGACCACCAGGCUGCCUAAGGAGGGGUGAACUGGCCCAGGUCAGAAGCAGAGCAGGUCAGAACUCCUGUGCUGAUCAGUAGUGGGAUCGUACCUGUGAAUAACCACUGCACUACAGCCAGGACAACAUAGCAAGACCUCAUCUCU
rnacentral:SRP_RNA from 1 species